rnacentral:rRNA from 1 species
GGAUCAGAAUGCCACGGUGAAUACGUUCCCGGGCCUUGUACACACCGCCCGUCACACCAUGGGAGUGGGUUGCAAAAGAAGUAGGUAGCUUAACCUUCGGGAGGGCGCUUACCACUUUGUGAUUCAUAACUGGGGUGAAGUCGUAACAAGGUAACCGUAGGGGAACCUGCGGUUGGAUCACCUCCUUA